UUAACAGCACUUCUUUGUGGUACUCUGUGUCGUCUGAAUCCCUCCAAGAACUGAGGCCUAGAAACAACCUGUUGACCUGACACUCCCCAAUUUCAGAGUCCUCUAGAAGGUUGCUUUUGAGCCUGCUGGUUUUCAUAUGCCCUGCCCCUAGAGUGAAAUUUCUGCCAAUUUAAUUAUGAGGUGAUGGCAGUUAGCAGGAAUUAGCGCCCAUCAUGUAAAAAAUUCAGGUUCCUUUCAGUGAACCCAACUCAUACCCACACGCAUUGACAACCAUUUGCUAAAACAGUCUAAUCUCCUCUUGCAGCAGAAGUGAUGAGCCUCCCUGGGUGACCAAAGGCACUGCCGGCAACAGGCACUUGUUGACGAUGAUCAGGAACGAUGGGGCUGGGGAAGCCAGCUGGAUUGAUAUUCUGAUACCAUUUUCAGACCCGAACGAGGACCUUGGAGCCCAUGUGGUGCCACUCCCACAUUUUAAACAUGGAGAAACUGGGGCACAGCUGCUGUCCCUGAGGCACUAGCUAGCAGAGGACCCUUUCACACCCAUGCCUCCAGACAUGGUCAGUGCUCUUCCCUCUGCAAUCAGCUGCCUCUCCUAAGGCCUGAAGGUCAACAGCCAGCGUUUCAAGGGCAGCUCCACAAAGGACAUGACCACGCGGGCUCUGGGAGAUAUCUUCCCCUUUCCCCACCUCAGUUUCCCCACUGGGAAAAUCAGCCUUAUAACGUGUGACUCCCGGGGCCAUGGUGAGCUAGCCUUAGAGGAAACAGUGCUUGGAAUGUUCCUAGCGGAGUGCCUGUUACAUAGCUGAUUCCCAGCUCCUGACUCCCUUCUCCUCUACCCGGGCACAUGAGGCCUUUCAGGACAUGCAGAGAUGAAGAGUGUCUUUCGUGGUUGGGAAGGGUCAGCUGUGUAGAGGGUCUCGGCUGCUCAGACCCGUCUCAUCCUUCAGGAGACAAAUUUGGAGCUCAAUCCUGCAUCAAUGUGCUCUUACUCUGAAGAGACUCUCCUCCCUGCUCACUCCUGACAACCCCCAAGGAGACAGAGCUUCUAAACACAGACUUUCCAAUUUUCCUAGUAAAAUGAAUGAAAGAACCUUUUGGGGAAUAAAGUGAUUUCUUUUUAGCUCCACUUGUUUACUUUUCCAUAAGCUCCCAAGAUGGCUUACAUGUUAGCUGUUAAUCACACCAUCUGUUCAAACAGUACUUCAGUAAAUGAUUCAAUUCAUACUUUUCUUCUAAAAGAAUCUUUUUAAAGACA